GAUGAACGCUGGCGGCGUGCCUAACACAUGCAAGUCGAGCGAUUCUCUUCGGAGAAGAGCGGCGGACGGGUGAGUAACGCGUGGGUAACCUGCCCUGUACACACGGAUAACAUACCGAAAGGUAUACUAAUACGAGAUAAUAUACUUUUAUCGCAUGGUAGAAGUAUCAAAGCUUUUGCGGUACAGGAUGGACCCGCGUCUGAUUAGCUAGUUGGUAAGGUAACGGCUUACCAAGGCGACGAUCAGUAGCCGACCUGAGAGGGUGAUCGGCCACAUUGGAACUGAGACACGGUCCAAACUCCUACGGGAGGCAGCAGUGGGGAAUAUUGCACAAUGGGCGAAAGCCUGAUGCAGCAACGCCGCGUGAGCGAUGAAGGCCUUCGGGUCGUAAAGCUCUGUCCUCAAGGAAGAUAAUGACGGUACUUGAGGAGGAAGCCCCGGCUAACUACGUGCCAGCCGCCGCGGUAAGAC
rnacentral:rRNA from 1 species